UGAGGAAUAUUGGUCAAUGGAGGAAACUCUGAACCAGCCAUGCCGCGUGAAGGAUGACGGCCCUAUGGGUUGUAAACUUCUUUUAUAUGGGAAGAAACUUAUCUACGUGUAGAUAACUGACGGUACCAUACGAAUAAGGAUCGGCUAACUCCGUGCCAGCAGCCGCGGUAAUACGGAGGAUCCAAGCGUUAUCCGGAUUCAUUGGGUUUAAAGGGUCCGUAGGCGGAUUUUUAAGUCAGUGGUGAAAGCCGACAGCUCAACUGUCGAACUGCCAUUGAUACUGGAAAUCUUGAGUACAAAUGAAGUAGGCGGAAUGAGUCAUGUAGCGGUGAAAUGCAUAGAUAUGACUC
rnacentral:rRNA from 1 species